UACGUAGGGUCCGAGCGUUGUCCGGAAUUACUGGGCGUAAAGCGCGCGCAGGCGGCCCGCGAGGUGUCACGUGAAAGCCCCGGGCUCAACCCGGGAGGGUCGUGGCAAACCGGCGGGCUUGAGGCCGGUAGAGGUGGGUGGAACUCCUGGUGGAGUGGUGAAAUGCGUAGAGAUCAGGAAGAACACCAAAGGCGAAGGCAGCAUCCUGGGAAGUUCCUGACGCUCGGGUGCGAAAGCCAGGGGAGCGAACGGG
rnacentral:rRNA from 1 species